UACGUAGGGGGCAAGCGUUGUCCGGAAUUAUUGGGCGUAAAGAGCGUGUAGGCGGCUCGAUAAGUCCGCUGUGAAAGCCCAGGGCUCAACCCUGGAAGGCCGGUGGAAACUGUCGGGCUAGAGUCCGGAAGAGGCGAGUGGAAUUCCCGGUGUAGCGGUGAAAUGCGCAGAUAUCGUGAGGAACACCAAUGGCGAAGGCAGCUCGCUGGGACGGUACUGACGCUGAGACGCGAAAGCGUGGGGAGCAAACAGG
rnacentral:rRNA from 1 species